AGCAGCCGCGGUAAUUCCAGCUCCAAUAGCGUAUAUUAAAGUUGUUGCAGUUAAAAAGCUCGUAGUUGAAUUUCGGAAUUUGUCGGUUGGUCGGGCUUUAUUGUCCGCACUGGCCUGAUAGAUUCCUACCUUCUGAAUAACCAGCAUGCUAUUAAUUUAGUGCGUUGGGGAAGCAGAGCUAUUACCUUGAAAAAAUUAGAGUGCUUAAAGCAGGCUUAUGCUUAAAUAGAUUAGCAUGGAAUAAUAAAAUAGGACGGCUUGGUUCUAUUUUGUUGGUUUCUAGGAUCACCGUAAUGAUUAAUAGGGAUAGUUGGGGGCAUUAGUAUUCAAUUGUCAGAGGUGAAAUUCUUGGAUUUAUUGAAGACUAACUUCUGCGAAAGCAUUUGCCAAGGAUGUUUUCAUUAAUCAAGAACGAAAGUUAGGGGAUCGAAGACGAUCAGAUACCGUCGUAGUCUUAACCAUAAACUAUGCCGACUAGGGAUCGGACGAUGUUAAUUUUUAAUGACUCGUUCGGCGCCUU
rnacentral:rRNA from 1 species